AGGUCGUAACAAGGUAACCUUUGGUGAAAAUGUGGUUGGAUUAUUAAAAAUUGUUUGGUUUUGUGGCAAAUCAACAUUUGUAUGCACCAUUGUCUGUUUUUGGUAGUUCGAGCUGCGCUAUGCGAGAUUCAACAGACCGCUGGCACCAACUCCUCCUGCUUGCAUUUGGAGUUGGGCUACCGCUUUUUUGAACAAACCUUUUGGUUUGUUUUUAUAACUGAAUGAAAAGUGUAUCUUUGUUUAUUAAUGAUUCUUAUACAACUUUUGGCAAUGCAUUUCUUGGCUCUC
rnacentral:misc_RNA from 1 species